ensembl:lincRNA
UUGGGUAAGAAACAGUCACAAUCAAGCCCUCGGUCUGAGUGUAACAAAUCAGCUGAUGGGUCACCACCUUCCAAAGGACUCAAGAAAACGUGAUAUGCAAAUGAUGCGCUGCAAAACGGACAAUGAGCCAGAAAACCAAUACCCUGUCACUAUUCGUCACAAAUGCCCAGAAAGUCUGCGAAAACUACCUAGGCUGCACAGGAGACCCUGUCCCGGAGGCAGAGGAGAGGGGCCAGUGGGGUUUCACGGCGACGCCAGGGCACAGUCUCCCCAGCCUCUCCGCAGGCCCGGCAUGUGAGCUCCUUCCCGCCCCACUCGCUGCGUCCGGGCUGACGAGGCGUCCGGGCGGACGAGGCGUCCAGAGCCAGUCCUUUGAGUGGGAGGGACGCCCCGCACUGGUUGACCGACUUCAGGCAUCUCCGCCCGCCCACACUGAGAACUGCAGCUGGACAAGGCGGGUGAGUGAAUGAACGAACAAACAACUCUUGAGGACAAAGUAAAGAAAACGCUGAUAAAAACUUGCCCACAAUCCAAGAUGAAGACUAUCGCCAGUAAUAAAAAUGCAUGCCAAUCUUAAGUAAAAACUGUUUUAACGCUGUCAUAACGACUGAUUUGUGCAAUUACCCUGAGUGACUUUCAUCUUACAGCGAAAUCACUUCUAACUAAAUCGUAGAGUGACAAUAUUUAGAACCAGAAAAGGCAUUAGUAGAAUGACUACUUCUAGCUCCUGCAACACUGAACACUAUAGCCCAUUUCAGUCUCAUCCUUCUCAACCAACAUUUUAGAACACUGUUGAUCACUCUCAGAGUUUCAAAACAAUAUGUAUUCACAGAGGCCUGCUGGUGAACACCUAGAAUCCAGCACUCAGGGAGGCUGAGGCAGAAGGAUCAAAAGUUGCAGUCCUAUCUGGGCAACUUGGCAAAAAUUUGUCUCAAAAUAAAAUAAAUGGUAAAAAGGGCUGGGGAUGUACAGUAGUUCACUGUGAAAGUCCCAGGUUCAAACCCCUGAUUGCCUCUUCCCAGCUCCCUUUGUAGAGUCCUCAAUUCUGUGACCUCUAGACCCUAGAGUGCCUAAAGCUUAACCAUUUACCUUCUUUAUCCUCUUGGACUUUUAUUUCCCAGCUUAUGGCUUUUAAAUACCAACCGUGUAUCUUCAGCUUAAUCCUUUCUUCUUAAAACCAGCUUUACCCAAGUGCUUUCUUGAUACGUCCUUUUAACAACACCACUCAGACAUCUUAAUAGCCAUCUCCAAUUUAACCAGAGCAAAAAUGAACUUUUGAUUUUCAUCCAUAGAACUAUGUCUCCUAUAUCUUCUCCAUUUCCUUUCUUUAACUCGGGCCAAAGACCUUGAUUCCUUUCGUAUUCCAUACCUAUUUCAUGUGCAGACUGUAUAGAUCCUAAACAUCACCAGGUCUCAGUAUGUUUCACCUUUUCCAUGGCUACUCAGUCCAAGCCAUUAUCAUCUCAUGUCAGGAUUACUGUAACUUUUCUAACCAGUCUUCCGUCUCUUAUUCCUGCCUUUUUAUAUUGUAUCCUUUAUAUAAUAGCAAGAAUGAUACUUCUGAAACAGAGCUCAAUCACGCCACACUUCCACUUAGACUGCUCUGAUAUAUUUCUAUUUCAUGUGAGGGGAAAAGCCAGUAGCCUUCAAAUCCCUGACUAACUUCUCCUCCCACUCCCUGAAUUCACCUGCCCUGUCUCACAUUGGUCCUGCCACAUUAGUAAGCCAAGAAUGCUUUCAAUGAGGAUCUCUGUUCUGUACUAGCUCUGCCCUCUCCUAGGAACACUCUUCCCAGGUACCUAAGUCAUACAGACAGCAUGGCUCACUGUCACUUUCUAGGUCUCUCUGUUUGAAUGUCAUCCUACUUAGAGGGGCUUGUCUCUUCACAACAUUAUAUCACCAGACCCUCAACACAUAUAUUUCUCUGCUUUGCUGACCUCCACAACACAUCAGCAUUUAAUACAGUAGUCCCCCUUACCCACCAGGAAGAGACUCCCAGUGCUUAAGUGGAACCAGACAGUACUGAAUACUACAUAUACCACUUUUUUCUUGUAGAUACUUACCUAUGAUAAAGUUUAAUUUAUACAUUGGGCACAGAUUAACCACAAUAACUUACUGUAAACUUUAACAACC